CUACCUACUAACAACUGUUUCUUGACUUACACAUGCAAGUCUCAGCACACCCGUGAGGAUGCCCUUUACCCUUUAUUAGGCUAAGGAGCUGAUAUCAGGCUCAAUCCAUUUUGCCCACAACAUCUAGUCCCACCACACCCCCAAGGGUAGUCAGCAGUGAUAAAUUUUGUGAAUAAGCGCAAGCUUGACUCAGUUAAUGAAAAGAGAGCCGGCUAAUCUGGUGCCAGCCGCCGCGGCUAAACCAGGGGCUCAAGUUGUUAGUCUUCGGCGUCAAGCGUGAUUAAAGUUUUUUCUAAAAUAGGGUUGAAUUAACACUAAGUAGUAAUAAGCCUGUUGUUAGUAAGCACACAAACGAAAGUUACCCUAAGCUAUUUACUUGAAUACACGACAGCUGAGGCACAAACUGGGAUUAGAUACCCCACUAUGCUCAGCCGUAAAUAUUGAAUUACACCAAAAAACGCCAGGGUAUUACGAGCUCUGCUUAAAACCCAAAGGACUUGACGGUGUCCCAUCCACCUAGAGGAGCCUGUUCUAUAAUCGAUAAUCCCCGCUCCACCCGACCAUUCCUUGCCAUAUCAGUCUGUAUACCUCCGUCGAAAGCCUACCAUGUGAACGCUUAGAGUAGGCCCAAUGGCCCCCCCGCCAAUACGUCAGGUCAAGGUGCAACUAAUGGAAUGGAAAGUAAUGGGCUACAGUUUCUAAGAUAGAACAUACGAAAAAUUAUGUGAAACCAUAUUCACGAAGGCGGAUUUAGAAGUAAAAAGAAAGUAGAGUGUUCUUUUUAAUCUCGGCUCUGGGACGCGUACACACCGCCCGUCACCCUCUUCGAUAGUCUUUCUCACCUGUUCAUAACCUAUCACCACACCUUAGAAGAGGCAAGUCGUAACAUG
rnacentral:ncRNA from 1 species